GGGUGCGAUCAUACCAGCGUUAAUGCACCGGAUCCCCUCAGAACUCCGCAGUUAAGUGCGCUUGGGCUAGAGUAGUACUGGAAUGGGUGAACUCAUGAGAGGUCAUGGUGUUGCACCCU
rnacentral:rRNA from 1 species